rnacentral:misc_RNA from 1 species
UCGGUGUUUACAUGUUCGAGCCCCGUCCCUUCAGAGAAAGCUCUCCGGAUCAGAAAGUGUCAUAGAACUCUCCAUAGUUUGUGGUAGGAUACGCAACACGCUGGACCGAUGCUAGUAGAUGAAGGAGAGCAUAGCCCUGAGUCCCUUCAGAGGAAGCUCUCCGGAUCAGAAAGUGUCUUAGAACAGGGUGUUGACUUCUCUCCAUAGUCUGUGGUAGGAUACGCAACACGCUAGACCUGUGCUAGUAGGGAAAGGAGAGCGUAGCCCCAAGUCCCUUCAGAGAAAGCUCUCUGGAUCAGAAAGUGUCGUAGAACGGGGUGUUGCAUUCUCUCCACGGUCUGUGGUAGGAUACGCAACACGCUGGACCGAUGCUAGUAGGGGAAGGAGAGCGUAGCCCCGAGUCCCUUCAGAGAAAGCUCUCCGAAUAAGAAAGUGUCGUAGAACGGGGUGUUUCCUUCUCUCCACAAUCCGUGGUAGGAUACACAACACGCUAGACCGAUGCUAGUAGGGGAAGGAGAGCAUAGCCCUGAGUCCCUUCAAAGAAAGCUCUCUAGAUCAGAAUGUGUCGUAGAAUAGGGUGUUGCCUUCUCCCCACACUCUGUGGUAGGAUACACAACACCCUGGACCGCGAUGCUAGUAGGGGAAGGAGAGCGUAGCCCCGAGUCCCUUCAGAGAAAGCUCUCCAGAUCAGAAAGUGUCGUAGAACGGGGUGUUGCCUUCUCUCCACAGUCUGUGGUAGGAUACGCAACACGCUGGACCGAUGCCGAUGUAGCCCCUGUGACGGUAAUUGUUGCCGAUGUAACACCCGCGCACUGUGGACACUCAGGACGCCUUCGUGCAAGCGAUUCUCCCGUGCUAUGCAUGGGAGGAGGCAUGGUAGUCUAGACUGUUGUGGCUACGCGAGCACAUGAGUAGCUUUGGACCCGUGUCUGUUGGUAGAUCCCCCGUCCUCGUGCGGCCGACUACCGACGCCGUGUCCCAUCAUUCGUGUGUCUUAUGUUACUGUUGCCUUUCAAGUUCUUGCGUGCAUGUACCCGACCUAUGGGAAGUGGUGCUUCGCACAUAUUUGCCUCGCGGCGGACACCUUCGGGUGUACCGCUGUGGCCUAAUCGCGCUUGCGGCGUUUCCUCAUUGUGCUGGCAUGUUUUGUGCUCGGUGCUAUCAAGGAAGCCUCGCUAUCGCUGUUGGUUUUAGAUGCUACUCACGAUAAUAUCUCAUGGCCCUUUUGGUGAGUAGAACCGACAUAGAAGCUAUCUGGAUCAGAACGUGUCGUAGAACGGGAUGUUGCCUCUACCUCUCCACAGUUAGUGGCAGGAUACGCAACAUGCUGGACCGAUGCUAGUAGGAGAAGGAAAUCUUAGCCUGCUCAAUUGCGACAACCGGCUCGGCCGUUGUCUUCCUGCAAGGGCGGAUUGCUACCGAUGCUAGACGUCAAAGAGGACAUGCU